UAGGCUGCUAAUGCAAGCUAGU
rnacentral:miRNA from 1 species